CAAAAUAUCCUAAAUGAGGAAUUGCCUUAGCAAACUAUGGCACAUCUAUCAAUAUAAUGGACUACUGUGCAGGUCUUAGAAAGUGUACUGUCAAAAUAUUUACAGAGAUGACAAUCUAAUUAUUAGUGCUUUCUCACACUGAACAGCCUAUAUUUCCUCACACAAAAGCUCUCUAGUAUGUUCUAAGUUCUAUUAUUUGUUACAUCCAUGAUCUUCUUAUGUUCCUAACAAGGAGGAGAAUUCUUUGGGGAAAAGGUCAGCACUUAUUUACCAUUUCCCUCAACACACCUUACACAGUGUUGGUGCAAGGAAGGAAAACUGCAGUUAUUAUGGAGGAAGAGGAACGACCUGGGAGCCACUGGGAACCAAUGUUAGGCCAUGACGACAGGAGGUUGCUAUGAACAGAGCCCACCCAAAGAGGCAGAACUGAGAAGGAGAGAGACUCGGACUCUGGUCACAGCAUUUGAACUACCAAAGCAAGCUUCUUUGAAAGGAUAAAAGUAAGCACAGAACAUUUGGGUCACAUGAGCCAAUACAUUUCCUUUAUAGUGUGAGCUAUUUUGCCUUGAGUUGUUUGUUCGUUUUUGUUUUGUUUUGUUUUUGUUUUUGUGUUAUUUUUGUUUUUACAGCGACUGAAAGAUUAUAUGCUCAUAUAAAAGAGUAGAACAAUAAUAACGACUUAAUUUUUA
rnacentral:lncRNA from 1 species